ensembl:misc_RNA
GGAUGUGCUGGCCUCGUGGCUUGUCUGAUUUGCACGGUGACUUGAUUACACGCCCGCAUUCAUGGUCACUUCCGAAGCGCUUUAGCGCCUUCCGUCCCUAAACCGCCAACAGUCAAGGCGGCUUUCCCCGUGGACUGUCAGUGAUCCACGGUCCGGAAGGACCUUCGUCUUACCCGGGAUCCAC